rnacentral:rRNA from 1 species
UGGGGAAUAUUGCACAAUGGGCGCAAGCCUGAUGCAGCAACGCCGCGUGAGGGAUGACGGCCUUCGGGUUGUAAACCUCUUUUAGCAGGGAAGAAGCGAAAGUGACGGUACCUGCAGAAAAAGCACCGGCUAACUACGUGCCAGCAGCCGCGGUAAUACGUAGGGUGCAAGCGUUGUCCGGAAUUAUUGGGCGUAAAGAGCUCGUAGGCGGUCUGUCGCGUCUGCUGUGAAAUCCCGAGGCUCAACCUCGGGCCUGCAGUGGGUACGGGCAGACUAGAGUGCGGUAGGGGAGAAUGGAACUCCUGGUGUAGCGGUGGAAUGCGCAGAUAUCAGGAAGAACACCGAUGGCGAAGGCAGUUCUCUGGGCCGUAACUGACGCUGAGGAGCGAAAGCGUGGGGAGCGAACAGGAUUAGAUACCCUGGUAGUCCACGCCGUAAACGUUGGGCGCUAGAUGUGGGGCACCAUUCCACGGUUUCCGUGUCGCAGCUAACGCAUUAAGCGCCCCGCCU